CUCUAACUGGAGAAUAGCCCGAAGAAAUUCGGAUUAAUACUCCAUAAAGUCAAUUUAAGGCAUCUUUUAUUGAUUANAGCUCCGGCGGUUAGAGAUGGGCAUGCGUGUCAUUAGCUAGUUGGUGAGGUAACGGCUCACCAAUGCCACGAUGACUAGGGGGUCUGAGAGGAUGAUCCCCCACACUGGUACUGAGACACGGACCAGACUCCUACGGGAGGCAGCAGUGAGGAAUAUUGGGCAAUGGACGCAAGUCUGACCCAGCCAUGCCGCGUGCAGGAUGACUGCCCUAUGGGUUGUAAACUGCUUUUGUUUGGGAAGAAACCCCCGAUCGUGAUCGGGGCUGACGGUACCAUACGAAUAAGCAUCGGCUAACUCCGUGCCAGCAGCCGCGGUAAUACGGAGGAUGCAAGCGUUAUCCGGAUUCAUUGGGUUUAAAGGGUGCGCAGGCGGAAUAUUAAGUCAGUGGUGAAAUCCUGCAGCUUAACUGUAGAACUGCCAUUGAUACUGAUAUUCUUGAAUAUAGUUGAGGUGGGCGGAACGUGUAAUGUAGCGGUGAAAUGCUUAGAUAUUACACAGAACACCAAUUGCGAAGGCAGCUCACUAAACUAAUAUUGACGCUGAGGCACGAAAGCGUGGGUAGCAAACAGGAUUAGAUACCCUGGUAGUCCACGCUGUAAACUAUGAUCACUCGCUGUUGGCAAUACAUCGUCAGCGGCUGAGCGAAGGCGUUAAGUGAUCCACCUGGGGAGUACGGUCGCAAGAUUGAAACUCAAAGGAAUUGACGGGGGCCCGCACAAGCGGAGGAACAUGUGGUUUAAUUCGAUGAUACGCGAGGAACCUUACCUGGGCUUAAAUGCAGAGCGACGUCCGCCGAAAGGUGGAUUCCUUCGGGCGAUCUGCAAGGUGCUGCAUGGUUGUCGUCAGCUCGUGCCGUGAGGUGUCGGGUUAAGUCCCAUAACGAGCGCAACCCUUAUCGUUAGUUGCCAGCGGGUAAUGCCGGGGACUCUAACGAAACUGCCGGUGUAAACCGUGAGGAAGGUGGGGAUGACGUCAAAUCAGCACGGCCCUUAUGUCCAGGGCUACACACGUGUUACAAUGGUCGGUACAGAGGGCAGCUACCACGCAAGUGGAUGCUAAUCUCGAAAACCGGUCUCAGUUCGGAUUGAAGUCUGCAACUCGACUUCAUGAAGCUGGAUUCGCUAGUAAUCGCGCAUCAGCCAUGGCGCGGUGAUACGUUCCCGGGCCUUGUACACACCGCCCGUCAAGCCAUGGAAGCUUGGGGUACCUGAAGUCCGUAACCGCAAGGAGCGGCCUAGGGUAAGACAAGUGACUGGGGCUAA
rnacentral:rRNA from 1 species